ensembl:lncRNA
AUCUCUUCUACCCUCUGGCUCACACAAAUCUUUUCUUUCACAGGAUGUGAUCCUGCACAAGGAGUUUUCCAGAGUUCUCUUGCUGAGGAGGAAUAUUGGGAAUUUCUAGGGAUCCUGCAGGAAAAAGCAGCUCAGGAGGGCAGAGAGCCCUGAGCUGUGCCAGCAGCAAGCUGUUCCCUGGAGCAGGAGCAGGCUGAGGGAGUGUUUUCUACAAAUCCUGGAGGAUUCAGAGGAGCUUUUCCUCACAGUUACACUGAGUGUGGGGAGAGACAAGCAGCUCACAGAGAGCCAGGCCUGGGAACCAGAAACUUGGGAAUGGGAUCCACGAGGGGUCUGACCUGCGCUGGGACCAUCCACAGAAUCCUGGAAUGCUUUGGGUUGGAAGGGACAUUAAAGAUGAUUUAUUUCCAACCCUGCUGCUGCGGGCAGGGACAUCCCAGGGUGCUCCAAGCCCUGGCCAAGCUGGCAUCUCCUGGGAAGCCAAGAUGGCUCAGCCACCACUGAGACCAUGGAGGGGGACAGGGCAGAUUCUCCCCCUGCCCAAGCAGGGUCCUGGGAAGGGAUUUUCCGUGCAAAAAUCUCUCUGGGCUUGUGGCAAGCACAUUUCUCUCUGUGCAAUAUAUGAAAAAUCCCGAGAGAGAGAGAGAGAAAGGUGAAUGCCACAUGGGCUCUUAACAAAUCCUCCCCAGCUCUUGCAUAACUCUACAGCCUCAAAAGAUCCUCCUGGAAGUGUCCAAGUGUCCAAGUGUCCAAGGCCAGCUUGGACAGGGCUUGGAGCAAGCUGGCAUAGGGAAUGGUGUCCCUGCCCAUGGGAAUGGGAUGAUGCUCACAGCUUCUGCCUCCAGGACGUUUUGGAGGAACGGGAGGAAUGUUGGGGAAGGGUCACCCCUCAGCACCCCGGCCUUGGGAAUGGCUCAUUCCUGCAGCAAACACCUGCCAGGGCUCGACCUAGAUUCUCUGGGAGGAGUCCCGGGGCGAAUUUGCGGGAUGCACCAGCGGCCGAGCGCUCAGGCCGCCGUCCCCGGCCAGCGAUGACCGCUCCUCACGUGAGCGGAGUCACCUCCGCGGUGUCACCUCCAGACAUUCCUGCGCCCCAUUUCCUCCGGCCCAGCGGCCCCGGCUCAACAGGAAAUGUCAGACACGAUCCGGCUUGUGUGUCCCGGGGCUGGGAGCGUGGAAAACAAGCUGGGAGGAGAGCGGGGCUGGGAAAUGCUCCAGGCUGGAGCUCAUCCGGGCGCCUCCUCCGUGGAUCCUCCACUCCUGCCUCAUUCCAGCCUUUUGGGAUUUCAAAGGGCUUUGGUCAUGUCCUGCCCGUGCUUCCAGGUGUCCUCGCUCCUGGAAGAGGGGACACAGAGAUCAGCUGCUGAAAGAGCAUUAAAGCUUCAGAGAGUUUUGUGGAGGAUGAAGCGAAGAGAAGGCAACUUUCCUACAACUGCACUGAAAUCCAAGGAAAUCUGGGGAAAACUCCGCGCCCCUCUGGAUCAUCAGCAGAAAGGCCUGAGGAAGAUGAAGAAAAACUGAAAUGGAAGGAAAACUGAAAUGGAAGGAAAUCUGCAAAACCCUCCCACCCAAGGAAGCCCUGAUGGGGAGACUCUUAAAAAGUUUUGUGCCAGAAUUGAGAGAUGGAUGGGACUUCUGUUUUUUUUAGUUUUCAGGUUGUUUUUAGUUUUUCUCUUAGCAAUAGUUUAGUACUCUGUCUGCG